rnacentral:rRNA from 1 species
GCCUAAUACAUGCAAGUCGAACGCUUUUUCUUUCACCGGGAGCUUGCUCCACCGAAAGAAAAAGAGUGGCGAACGGGUGAGUAACACGUGGGUAACCUGCCCAUCAGAAGGGGAUAACACUUGGAAACAGGUGCUAAUACCGUAUAACACUAUUUUCCGCAUGGAAGAAAGUUGAAAGGCGCUUUUGCGUCACUGAUGGAUGGACCCGCGGUGCAUUAGCUAGUUGGUGAGGUAACGGCUCACCAAGGCAACGAUGCAUAGCCGACCUGAGAGGGUGAUCGGCCACACUGGGACUGAGACACGGCCCAGACUCCUACGGGAGGCAGCAGUAGGGAAUCUUCGGCAAUGGACGAAAGUCUGACCGAGCAACGCCGCGUGAGUGAAGAAGGUUUUCGGAUCGUAAAACUCUGUUGUUAGAGAAGAACAAGGAUGAGAGUAAAAUGUUCAUCCCUUGACGGUAUCUAACCAGAAAGCCACGGCUAACUACGUGCCAGCAGCCGCGGUAAUACGUAGGUGGCAAGCGUUGUCCGGAUUUAUUGGGCGUAAAGCGAGCGCAGGCGGUUUCUUAAGUCUGAUGUGAAAGCCCCCGGCUCAACCGGGGAGGGUCAUUGGAAACUGGGAGACUUGAGUGCAGAAGAGGAGAGUGGAAUUCCAUGUGUAGCGGUGAAAUGCGUAGAUAUAUGGAGGAACACCAGUGGCGAA